rnacentral:rRNA from 1 species
GACGAACGCUGGCGGCGUGCUUAACACAUGCAAGUCGAACGGAAAGGCACUGCUUUUGUGGGGUGCCCGAGGGGCGAACGGGUGAGUAACACGUGAGUAACCUGACCUUGACUUUGGGAUAACUUCAGGAAACUGGGGCUAAUACCGGAUAGGAGCUCCUGCUGCAUGGUAGGGGUUGGAAAGUUUCGGCGGUUGGGGAUGGACUCGCGGGUUAUCAGCUUGUUGGUGGGGGAGUGGCUUACCAAGGCUUUGACGGGUAGCCCGCCUGAGAGGGUGACCGGCCACCUUGGGCCUGAGAUACGGCGCAGACUCCUACGGGAGGCAGCAGUGGGGAAUAUUGCACAAUGGGCGGAAGCCUGAUGCAGCAACGCCGCGUGCGGGAUGACGGCCUUCUGGUUGAAAACCGCUUUCGCCUGUGACGAAGCGUGUGUGACGGUAAUGGGUGAAGAAGCACCGGCUAACUACGUG